rnacentral:rRNA from 1 species
UGGGGAAUAUUGGACAAUGGGCGAAAGCCUGAUCCAGCCAUGCCGCGUGUGUGAAGAAGGUCUUCGGAUUGUAAAGCACUUUAAGUUGGGAGGAAGGGCAUUAACCUAAUACGUUAGUGUUUUGACGUUACCGACAGAAUAAGCACCGGCUAACUCUGUGCCAGCAGCCGCGGUAAUACAGAGGGUGCAAGCGUUAAUCGGAAAUACUGGGCGUAAAGCGCGCGUAGGUGGUUUGUUAAGUUGGAUGUGAAAGCCCCGGGCUCAACCUGGGAACUGCAUCCAAAACUGGCAAGCUAGAGUACGGUAGAGGGUGGUGGAAUUUCCUGUGUAGCGGUGAAAUGCGUAGAUAUAGGAAGGAACACCAGUGGCGAAGGCGACCACCUGGACUGAUACUGACACUGAGGUGCGAAAGCGUGGGGAGCAAACA